rnacentral:misc_RNA from 1 species
GUUAAAUAAUUAAAUAAUUAACAAAUAAAAUAAUUAAUUUAACAAUAUCUAUAAAAUUUAAAUAAUUAAUAAAAAUAAAAGGUAAAAUAAUUAAAUUAAUAGCAAAUAAUUAACUAAUUAAUAAAUCCAACCACAGAGAAGGAGAAGGAAAGGGUAAAAAAAAAAGAGGGAAGACCGCUGCACACCGACAGCAUAAUGGGGUAGGAAGUAGUGGUGGCCACGGUCCGGUUUCGAACUGGAACCGAACUGAAACCGGUUCGGUCAAAACCAGAAUCGAACCGAAACCGGUUCUGUCAAAACUGGACCAAAACCGGAACCGGCUUCGAAUUAGACCAAAACCGUCCUUCUACGGUUUGGUUUAGGUUCAUAUUUU